GGCCCCUCCACAAGUGGCAGCGUGCUGGGGAAGCAUGUCCAUGCUGAAGGAGCCUGAGGGGGAGACAAAAGGAGGAGAAAUGUUUCCGGACCUCCUCUCCCUGCGGCAUCAGAGAGGGCCUGCAAUGGGUGUCAUUCUACUCUGGCUGUUCAACGUCUGACAUGACUCCAAGUUGCUGACUGCCUCCUGCUUGAUCCCACCAUGGCCCUAAAGUCACCAAGAAAAAACCAUGCCUGCUAAUUAACAUACCUGAGAGGAAAAUGACACCACAUGGCUAAUCUUCACUGGAGCCAUGGUGGGCCCAGCAGCUGUCCCAAGCACAAGGCAGAAUGC